GACAGAGGCCUCGAGCGUUAGGCGGAAUCACUGGGCUUAAAGCGUGUGUAGGCGGAUCGUUAAGUGCCUUGUGAAAUCCCACGGCUUAACUGUGGAACGGCUGGGCAUACUGGCGGUCUUGAGCCAUCUAGGGGCGACUGGAACAAACGGUGGAGCGGUGAAAUGCGUAGAUAAUCGGUUUGGAACGCCAAUGGUGAAAACAGGUCGCUGGGGAUGCGCUG
rnacentral:rRNA from 1 species